rnacentral:rRNA from 1 species
GACGAACGCUGGCGGCGUGCUUAACACAUGCAAGUCGAGCGGUAAGGCCCUUUCGGGGGUACACGAGCGGCGAACGGGUGAGUAACACGUGGGUGACCUGCCCUCAGCUCUGGGAUAAAGCCUGGGAAACCGGGUCUAAUACCGGAUAUGACUCCAUGACGCAUGUUGUGGGGUGGAAAGCCUUGUGCGGCUGAGGAUGGGCCCGCGGCCUAAUCAGCUUGUUGGUGGGGUGANGGCCUACCAAGGCGACGACGGGUAGCCGGCCUGAGAGGGCGACCGGCCACACUGGGACUGAGACACGGCCCAGACUCCU